UCUUUAACAAUGAAUCUUAUGGUACCAAUGCAAUUUAUUGCAACCAACCCAUAAACGAAUAAAGAGCUCGCCUUGUCUUUUUAACUUCACAUAAAAUUACUGAAAAAUGAAGGUCACCGAUAAAGCAGCUAUUUGUGGCCUACGACGAACUGUUAAUACUCUGUACAAAUUUAAUGGAGCGGAGUAUUUAACUUUCCCCACUCACGGGGUCCACUAGUUUACGGAGCACUGUGCGUGAAGAGUCACACCAGUCGCAGUGUCCAUUGAUCAACAUUGGAAAUCUGACUUGACCGCGCUUCGCACUAAUCGCAUAAUUUGCUGGGCAAAUAGUGCUUUUGAAUGCUAUAAAUAUACACAAGACCCCAAGACUAGACUGAAGGCAAUCGGUCACAGGUUGGUUGGUCGGUCAUCAAAGAUGAAUUGGUCGACCAACCCGUGAUCCUAUAUAUCAGGCGUACUACCACCCCCAAACCUCUUGGUCAUUUAUGAUUGUCGUAAUGCGACAAUAUUGAUAGCCGAUUAUGCCGAGUAUAAUGAUAACGCCUUCUACAACGGGAACGGGACCGGGACCGGGACUGGGAAUCAAUUCCGCAUAGUGAGUCCGAGGGUGGCCAUGCCACGCCCCAUUUCCAAUUGAUAAGAUAGUGGAGUCCGGGACAGGGGAAAUGGAGCGCUACUGGAGGCUCAACUGGCUGCAAGGAGCGAAUUUGCGCCCGAGCAGGAGUUCCGGAAUUCCAAGCGAUUGGGAUUGGGUCACGUUACCCAGGUGCCAGCCUUCAAAAACUUCCCAGUCACUCAAUUGCCCAUAUUUGAAACUAGACAGAACUUCAAUGAAGAUCAAUCAAAUUGAUGAACAGGACAACUGGUACCAGUCCGCUCUGGGCCUGCGCGAAGAGACCUUCAGGAAGCCAUGGAACUACUCCUUUCGCGUACCGAGCAAUCCUACCCAGCUCUUCAAGUGGCUGCUAACAUUGAAGCUGCCCAUGCUGGUGGAUGAGACUCCGCCCUGGAGUUUCUAUUUCGAUUUGUGGGAGGCCAAGGACAUUGAAUUGGACGUAAAUGUUUGCAGCGGAAUGCUUCUGGUGAGCAUCGCUUGUCAGACAAUAGAUGUUCCUUUGACACCUGAUGAUGUGGAACCACACACUUUUGAAAAAGAUAUGGUAGCAUCCCAACCUAAUCUAACAAGCCCAUAUCUGUCUACUGAUGAUAAACCUCGGUCAAAUCUGGUGGAUGUGGCAACUGGUCCCGAUGAGCCGCCAGUAAUUCUCAAGUUGGUGGAAAAAGGAACUGGGCCACCUGAGGAUCCACAACCGAAAUCGCGGUCCUUUUACUGUCUGAUGAAAAAGGCGGUGCUGGCCUUGUCCUUGCUGCACACCCUCUAUGUCCUGAUCCAGAUCGCCUUCGGAUCCUCCCUGGCCGAUGUCUGGGAGGCCAUCGCCGGGGAUCCGACUCCGCCGCAGAUCGAGGAGACCGGGUGGUCAGUGGCCAGCAUGCUGGAGGCCCUGCUGGGGGCCCUGAGAAGUUUGAUGCCCUAAGUGCGCUCCUGGACAGUCCGCAUGCAGAUAGUUUCGUUUCGGUUAUUUUUAAACCCAUCCAGCUAUUUUUACGCCUCAAGACUCAGCUAUGGUCCCACUUCCAGACGAUUCCUACGCCGCUGCUUGUUGUUCUCAUUGCUCAUUGUUGGCGGCGUGCGAAGAUUACGGGCAGAAAACGGAGGACCCGAAAAUACGGACUGUUGUCGUUGGUGUCGUGGUUAUUGUUGUUGUUGCUGUGUACCCAAGACAACGACAACGAUCCGACUUGGCGAUAAGCCUCGGAAUCUACACGAAUCUCGGUCAAUAGCUCACCGAUCCGUAGCCAAAUAAAUACUAAGCUGAGUCCCCCAGUUCGAAUCUCUCUCUGGAAAUGUAUAAAAUAUUCCAUUUGCUGGCACACUAGUUAUAUAUCCCUCCAAAUCGCGGAUUCAUGGACAAUGAUCCCAAAAGCGACCACCUCCUAUCGGUGUCAAACACCUUUUGCUUAUUGUACAUUAAUAGGUGCAUUCACUCGUCUUUCCCAAUCCGAAACGGAACUCGAUCCCCAACUGGCGUCAUCAUCGCUUUACAUUCCGCUGGAACAUUCCCCUGACGGUAAAGGGAAACGCUGGAAUCUUCGCUGCACGUCAACGUCAAACAGGCGAAAAGCCGGAAAAUUGAGCUGCCAGGGAAAGUGAGGAAAAUGGGGAAAGCAAUGGCAAAGGCAUAAUGUGCCAGCUAGAGAAUAUGCAUGCAAAUUAGCUGACAAAACAAGAUUGACAUUCGGCAAUCAGCGGCAAAUUGUCUGCAGCAACCAUUUUGUUAUUUCACUUUUUAUUCCACGUUUUUUUUUGCAAAACAUGCCGCAUUGCCAUUUUCCCUGCCGCAGCCCAAAAGCCAACUAUGAGAACUGGUUAAAAAGGCAAAUGCCAAGAGCAAAGGCCGCGAGGAAAUCGUGUAGGGGUGGUGGGUCAGAAGGGUGCCCAAAAGCCUAGCAUAUAUAGGAUAUACUUUAUAGUACAGUAUCUGGGCGGGUCGUUUGCUCUGUUGCCGCCUGCUAUUUAACAUGCACUCGUGAGAAGCGCUGGGCCGCAUUAAUAUUGCAACGUUGGACAGGACGAAAGUCGAUCCAAGGGGCAGUUU